AAAUAUCUGUAGGGGACUUGUGCGAAAUAGAUUCUGCUUUCUGUUUAUUUUCCAAGGAAUUUGAUAAAAGCUAAUACACUGAAACUGACACCAGAGCGUACCUAGAGAAGGUUCCUGGACUGUACCAUUCUGUUCUCCCAGGGGUUUAUGGAGACAAGAGCUGCACCAAGUUAUCUGUGGCCUGUAGUGUUCUGCUCCCUUUUUCCUCUCCCCCGAGUGCCAUUUCAGGAAGGAAGAAGGCAAACAAGACCUUUGUGUAUUAUUCCGAAAAGGGUGCUGUUUAUGAGCGGCACAUCGUGCGGUGGAAAGAAGAGGGUAGGAAUCAUCAUUUAUCAAAUACUUAUAGAGUCAACUACUAUAGCACUGGUUAGAUGCCCUGGGUUUGAGUCCUAGCCCAGCCAAUACUGCCUGUGUGACUGAGUGUGACUAACCUUCCUGCUUUGGCCAGUACUGUCCUGGAUUUAGUACUGAAAGUCCUGUGGUCCUAGGACUCCUUCAAUCUUGGAAAAUUCGACAUUUUAUCACUGUAACUCAGUCAUUUGCACUUAUUUAUAAAAUAGAGAAGUUGAUUUCCUUUUAUACCGUGAGUUUGGUGUGGUGUCAAAUUAGAUAAUACAAAAGAACUUGAUAAAAUAUGAGCUUUAUAUAGACAUAAAGUACUGUGUGUUUCACUUUCCUGUUCCAGGCAUGUGUGGCAAAGGCUUAGCUACAGAACUGGAUUUUUGUACCAGGGGACAGUCCCCUGAGGAGUGCGACUCCGGGACUCAGAAGGCUUUCAGGUAAAUGUCUUUCUCUUUUCUCCCUAAGUUAUGGGGCUCAAACCCAGGGCCUCGCUUUUUCUAAGAACACGCUCUGCCGCUCAGCUACACACCCAGGGUCAAGUCUGUCUCCACAGCCAAGUGUUCAAGGGGGCUGCAAAAAUCCGUCCCAGCUUGGCAGGGAAGUUGUAAAGAGGCCCAGACAAGGAGGCUGUGGGUUCUUGGUGAGCUCUCAAGCACCUCUGUCCACAAGUGGGUGCCAGCAGGGCAGCCCCUGGGACAGUUUCCCACUCUAUUUGGAUGUAGACGGGCAAGGCAGUCCCGAUGGCCACGCGGAGGGGCUAGUGUACACCCUAGGCCAGAUACGUGAGCAGGCGUGUAGGGCUGCCUGCAGUGUGAACAAGACCUGAGGUCAUGCAUCAUGGCAGACAGGGGCAGUGCCAGCCCAGAAACUUCCUUGGGCAUUCCGGAAGUGGUUCCUGGAAGAAGAACUUCCUGCUUGGGUUGCUGAGUACUCACGACUCCGAAACACUAUUUCCUGGCAAGGAACAGCUGGUGUUAGGCCAGGAAAAUGGUGGUGACCUUGAGAAGUAGUCACGUGCUAUCCACUCUCUCCUCAAACACGAGUGUGGAGGCUGUGGACAGCCGGGGUGUCAGAGACUUCAUGUUCGGCAACGCUGGAGAGACAGCCUCAGUUCUCCCUCAUCCAUGACAAGGGAGGCAGACUGCAGGUCAUAGUUUUCCACCUGGCCUCUACUAAGCACACCUUCUGUGGGAAGAAAUCCUGCUACUUUUUUCCUUAAUCAGAUAUAGAGGAGUAUAUGUCCUUUUUCAAUUUCUGGGAAGCUAAGAUUUAUUAAAGUCUGCAAAUUGCCUUCUUGAAGUAAACUUUGUCUAAAAUGAUUCUAGUUUCCUGGCAGGUAUUUAGUCUGUGGGUGAGUUCUAAAAAGAGGUGAAUAGGAGUUUGCCCAUGUUAUGUUAUUAAAUGCUUUACAAAGAUUAAGUCAUUAAUUCUCGCUGCCUCCUUGGGAGCGUUGUUAUCCUUAUUUUUCAGCCGUGGAAUUGGGACCAAGUGCUGCACAGAGGGGCCUUGCCCAAGGCUGUGCAGCUGGGGAGAAUCAGGGAGAACCAGGCUGUGUUAGCGGCUCACAGGCCGGCUUUCCCUCUGAGGUAAGGAGAUGCCUUGGGCCUGUGUCAAGGCGGCUCCCGGAGCCUGAAGAAAAGCGCUCAAAAGCCGUAAGCCUCUCACAAAGACAAAGCCAAGCAAACCACACUGAUUGUGGAUGCCAGGUACUGAGUCUGUGUGAUAACACAGACAGCCACGAGGCUGGAGCUGGCCUUCCAGGGUUCUGUGGCAGCUGUGAAAUGAACGUCAAUGAAAGGUGCCAAUGGCAUUGUAAGGGAAUGCUUAAGCAAUUUGUAUGAACAUCAAGGGGAUUAGCAAGCAUCUCAGUGAUACUUUCGUCCUGUUGCUUUAUAUGUGUGCAGUGCCUUCCAGUUCCAAAAGCACGCUCACAUGUACAAUCAUUUCCCAGCAAUAAUUAUUCAAACUAGAGUAGACGCGGCUGAACUGUGCCCUUAGGUCUGUAAGCUGAAGCACUAACUCCCAGGACCUCAGAAUGUGACUGCAGUUGGAGAUAGGGCUUUUAAAGUCGGGAUUAAAAUGAGGCCCUUAGGGCGAGCCCUGAUCCAAUCUGACUGGUCCAUAAAAGAGGAAGAAAAUUAGGGUGCAAAGAAGAAAAAAAGCGUGAGGACACAGCCGGAAGGUGCCCAUGUGCGAGCCAGGGACAGCGGUCUCAGGAGAGAGGAAACCUGCCCACACCUUGAUCUUGAACUGUGCGAAGUAAAUUUCUCUUGGGCAAGCCACCUUCUUCCUGCUCUUUUGUUAGGCAGCUCUUGCAAAUUAAUACAGAAGAUCAUUUUGUAAUAUCUCUAAGCAUGUCAGUUACGCUCAUUUCUUACCAGAAAUACUUUUGUACUGCAACUUUCACAGAUUCAUUAAGAAUGAUAACAGCGAAGCUGGCUUGAACUUAGGAAGACGUCACCAAGCGCUACAGUGUAAACAUUGUACUUCGAUCCUCAUGAAAGCCGUUCAGAUAAGUCAUGGAGAAGAAGCCGAAUUCCAGUCAGUAAAUGCAGAAGAAUGAGAGAAAUGGAAGGUUGCCGUGGGGCAGACACUAGUCAUAAUAAUUGUUUGCCUAUCAGCUUGUUUUGAGGUCAUGUAUCAUUUUUGUGUUGAUUUUGUUUUUGUCUUCAUUGUUGUUGUUUUGUUAUUUUCUCUCCUUAAAAUAAAAAAAAAAUGCAAAAAAGUUGUUGUAGGCAAGCACCAUGCAUGCACACCAUAAUGAGUUGGUGAAAAUGUGAGAAGAAGGAUGUAGUCUCAGAGUAUCUCCUUGCAAGGUGUUCAUUAGUGUCAAAGGGAGCAAUAUUAAGUUUACAGUGGAGAAGCCCAG
rnacentral:lncRNA from 1 species